UAUAUCUGCAUAACAAAAAAAGAAUUGGACAUUUUAUGUCAUACCCACAAAAAUUGUUUCAAGAAAAAUGCAUUUGGCUAUACAGAUCAUCAAGCAAAAAUAUAGAUGAGAUACAACGUUGAAAUGAUGCUUCGUACUUCAAAAGUUCAAUGGAGCUCCAUGUCCAACUACAAAGGAAAUUCGGAGACAAAUAAGUGCACAAGAGCAGAGAAUAGCAAGACGUUAGUCAGUAACGAACGGCCAGAUUGCAAAGAAAAACCCAUGGCACUGUGAGACCCCGUUUUAUGCACCAGCAACAUACUCUCUGCCUGUGUAUCACAGUGAGACCUCUCCCUCGUUUCACCGGAGGCCAAGACUUGUCCGAGAGCCUUGGGCGUCGUGAGGAAAAUAAGGUAGCCCCAGGGAUCCCCUGUUAAUGCGAGUCUUUGUUCAUGUUGUUCAUGUUCAUGGCCGAUAAGGUCGUGCUGGUCACCUCUGUCAGUGUCAGCUGGGCUGCUGCCGCUGUGUUACGCAUUGCCAAUCACUAGUCGAUUGUAUGCUUCGUGAAUGCUAGUUUAAGUCGUGGUUGAGCGAGGGAAAUUCAAAUCCACAAGAGGACAUUACAAUUAGUCUACAAGACACCACGCCAAGGACGCUUUGGUAGUGGGAGGCACCGACUCGUGGAGCGGAGAUUGCUAGAUGCUUGUACUAGUACCCUGCACAACACUCACUCAGCGCGUUAUUAUGAAAAUUUAAGCUCUGAAGGUUUUCCUCACCCAAAGACUUUUAAAAAGUUCUCGUAGUUUGCUUAGAAAGAAUGCAAAAAUAUAUCAUGAUGUUCUUCACAUACUCUCAACAAUGUACCAACGAUCAUCCUGUGUGAGAACUUGGUGUUGUAGCCCGGUGGCUGGCACGUCGAGUGUGCUGGCAUGGAACGCAACAUGUCACGCAUGCUGACGUGCACCUUCUGACAUACCAGACACAUUGUUGUGUAGAUACUGACAAACCAGCAACACUAGUUAUUCCAAAGACGAUAAUAUUAAUUAACUAUACACAAAAGCUUAUCACUGUCAUAUAGGCAGCAGCAAAUCAGCUACACCUUGUGAAGUAAUUAACAUACCAGUUACUCUGGUUACAGCUCGCAUAUCGAUACACAAGUCACUGUCUUAAUAACACGAUACACUCAAGCUAAAAGGUCCGUCACACUGUUUUAACCACAUGUUCCUCUCAUGUAGUUACAUCAUAUCCACAUACAUUCCUACAUUAAAUUGCCAAUUACACAAGUGUAAAUGUAUAGUUACACUGAUGUGCAUUUGUGGCGUAUCAGUCACACUGUUGGGUUACAAUUUGGUUUAAUUAUUAUCAAAGAAAAAUUUAAUAUUUCUCUUAUUGCAAUAUCGGUAUACUAUUGUGUCGUUAUCAAAAUUCCAGGUCAUUCAACUUGCAAACUCGUUGAGUACACCAAACACGCUUUCUAGUUCUUCAUAAUUUGGACAUGUUUUAUAUAAUUUUACUGUCGUAUGUGAGGAGGACGUAAGGCAAAUGUCCUAUUCAUUCAGCUAGUUACAGUUAUUAUGUAAUACCAGCAGAGUGGACAUUCAUGUCUUACACUGCAAACACGACUAAUUCUGUUUGAUUUGAGUUCGUCAAGAAGUUUGGUCAUAUAUAUUAGAGUUAAAAAACAAAACAAAAAAAACAUCAUAAGGUAUUCUAUCACCACACUUUUUUCUGUGUUAGUGAUCAAAUAGUUUCAGUUCGCUUCAUUUUUUUCUCUCUCUUUAU